rnacentral:rRNA from 1 species
AUUGAACGCUGGCGGCAGGCUUAACACAUGCAAGUCGAGCGGAGAUGAGGUGCUUGCACCUUAUCUUAGCGGCGGACGGGUGAGUAAUGCUUAGGAAUCUGCCUAUUAGUGGGGGACCACAUUCCGAAAGGAAUGCUAAUACCGCAUACGUCCUACGGGAGAAAGCAGGGGAUCUUCGGACCUCGCGCUAAUAGAUGAGCCCAAGUCGGCAUAGCUAGUUGGUGGGGUAAAGGCCUACCAAGGCGACGAUCUGUAGCGGGUCUGAGAGGAUGAUCCGCCACACUGGGACUGAGACACGGCCCAGACUCCUACGGGAGGCAGCAGUGGGGAAUAUUGGACAAUGGGGGGAACCCUGAUCCAGCCAUGCCGCGUGUGUGAAGAAGGCCUUAUGGUUGUAAAGCACUUUAAGCGAGGAGGAGGCUACUGAGACUAAUACUCUUGGAUAGUGGACGUUACUCGCAGAAUAAGCACCGGCUAACUCUGUGCCAGCCGCCGCAGUAACAC